GUUGUCUUUGGGACAACGUGUCCUCUUGUUUGACUCGAGGUGGUGUCGUUGUCUUUGGGACAACGUGUCCUCUUGUUUGACUCGAGGUGGUGUCGUUGUCUUUGGGACAACGUGUCCUCUUGUUUGACUCGAGGUGGUGUCGUUGUCAUUGGGACAACGUGUCCUCAUGUUUCACUCGAGGUGGUGUCGUUGUCUUUGGGACAACGUGUCCUCUUGUUUGACUCGAGGUGGUGUCGUUGUCUUUGGGACAACGUGUCCUCUUGUUUGACUCGAGGUGGUGUCGUUGUCUUUGGGACAACGUGUCCUCAUGUUUGACUCGAGGUGGUGUCGUUGUCUUUGGGACAACGUGUCCUCAUGUUUAACUCCAGGUGGUGUUGUCUUUGGGACAACGUGUCCUCAUGUUUGACUCGAGGUGGUGUCGUUGUCUUUG
ensembl:lncRNA